rnacentral:rRNA from 1 species
CCGCGUGCAGGAUGAAGGCCUUCGGGUUGUAAACUGCUUUUGUACGGAACGAAACGGUCUGCCCUAAUACGGUGGGCUAAUGACGGUACCGUAAGAAUAAGCACCGGCUAACUACGUGCCAGCAGCCGCGGUAAUACGUAGGGUGCGAGCGUUAAUCGGAAUUACUGGGCGUAAAGCGUGCGCAGGCGGUUAUAUAAGACAGAUGUGAAAUCCCCGGGCUCAACCUGGGACCUGCAUUUGUGACUGUAUAGCUAGAGUACGGUAGAGGGGGAUGGAAUUCCGCGUGUAGCAGUGAAAUGCGUAGAUAUGCGGAGGAACACCGAUGGCGAAGGCAAUCCCCUGGACCUGUACUGACGCUCAUGCACGAAAGCGUGGGGAGCAAACAGGAUUAGAUACCCUGGUAGUCCACGCCCUAAACGAUGUCAACUGGUUGUUGGGUCUUCACUGACUCAGUAACGAAG